UCUGUGCCCGAGCGGCAUGACCACACCAGCAUGCUGAGCUUACCUGCUCCGCGGCGAGCCGGGAACCGCUCCUCCACGCCUCUUGGGAAAAACCAUUAAUGGUUUUUAGUCCUGCUCCACCUCCAGAAGCUGAACCCAUGCAAUUGGGCAUUGCUAAACUAACUGAGGCAACACAACUAAGAAAGACAACACAGACGCAACGAGGGG